AAGUAAUGUUAAGACCUGUUUUUAAACAGUCUAUGGUUAAAACCCAUCACAUCUCCAUUACAGAAAAUUAUUACCUUUAUUGGCCCCAUAAACAAUUAUGUUAGCAUUUCUUUUGUAAUACAAAUGUGAAUUAUUUAACGUUACCGAAGAUUCUUUAUUCACAAGACAAAAACUUUGACGUUGAAUGUAUCUUACAGAAUUGCAACAGCAAUGAGAACUGCUAAAGAAAAUGAACCAAUCAGAAGAUGGACCAUUCUCGAUGUUCACCAUUCAGGCAGAAGACUCUCUGCCAUUGCAGUCCCACAUGACCAGGAAGGUACUAUUAUCAGCGCACUAGUGAUGGGUCGUUCUUGAACGAUCGUUCAUUUUGAACGAAUCUUUAAUGUGACUCGGGAAGAACGAGUCGUCUCGGGGAGUGAUUCGUUCAGUCGCGCAUGCGCAACAUCCUAUAGGUUCUGCACUGAAUUAAUUCACCUGCUUUGAGUCUUUGGGUUUUUCGAGUCGUUUGUUCAUCACGUGACAGCCCCAUAAGCUAAACCUAUGCAGUCUGAGGGAAAAAGACUUAAUAAUAAUAAUAAUAAUAACCAACUCUUUAGUUUAUUACCUUUGUUACCACAUUCAGUGAAUCAUCAUGACAGAAAUUCAUGUUUGCAUUUGUGGUUGUGGACAUGCAUACAGACCAGGAAACAUUCUGAUGUUGUCAGUCAAGUUCUGAGCAGGUUCCAGUCUUCGGAGAAGUUCAUUUAUUCCCAAAGGUGGACAAAAACAUUGUGUUGGUUUUUAAAAGACUAUUUUGAUAAUGACUUUUACUCCUGUGCUGUGGAAAAGAUGAAGGAGUACAGACAUUGAUAAUAAGAAAUGUUUUUUGAGCAUCAAAGAGACUUCUUUCAAAAUACUGUUGGCCACCAGUGUACAUCAAUCCAGCAAAGUCUGGAAAAAAGUGAAAUGAUUAUGAAGGUGGGGUUAUGUCAUGUUACCUAAUGAGAUGAAAAGAACUGUUUUGUCCUGUGUUGGAUAUUUCCU